AUUGAACGCUGGCGGCAUGCUUUACACAUGCAAGUCGAACGGCAGCGCGGGGCAACCUGGCGGCGAGUGGCGAACGGGUGAGUAAUACAUCGGAACGUACCCAGAAGUGGGGAAUAACGUAGCGAAAGUUACGCUAAUACCGCAUACGUUCUACGGAAGAAAGUGGGGGACCUUCGGGCCUCAUGCUUUUGGAGCGGCCGAUGUCUGAUUAGCUAGUUGGUGAGGUAAAGGCUCACCAAGGCGACGAUCAGUAGCUGGUCUGAGAGGACGACCAGCCACACUGGACUGAGACACGGCCCAGACUCCUACGGGAGGCAGCAGUGGGGAAUUUUGGACAAUGGGCGCAAGCCUGAUCCAGCAAUGCCGCGUGAGUGAAGAAGGCCUUCGGGUUGUAAAGCUCUUUUGUCAGGGAAGAAACGGCUGAGGAUAAUACCUUCGGCUAAUGACGGUACCUGAAGAAUAAGCACCGGCUAACUACGUGCCAGCAGCCGCGGUAA
rnacentral:rRNA from 1 species